rnacentral:rRNA from 1 species
UCCGUAGGUGAACCUGCGGAAGGAUCAUUAUCGAGUUCUGACUGGGUUGUAGCUGGCCUUCCGAGGCACGUGCACGCCCUGCUCAUCCACUCUACACCUGUGCACUUACUGUGGGUUUCAGAUCUGCGAAGCGUGCUCCUUGCGGGGCUUCGUGAAGCGCGUCUGUGCCUGCGUUUAUCACAAACUCUAUAAAGUAUUAGAAUGUGUAUUGCGAUGUAACGCAUCUAUAUACAACUUUCAGCAACGGAUCUCUUGGCUCUCGCAUCGAUGAAGAACGCAGCGAAAUGCGAUAAGUAAUGUGAAUUGCAGAAUUCAGUGAAUCAUCGAAUCUUUGAACGCACCUUGCGCUCCUUGGUAUUCCGAGGAGCAUGCCUGUUUGAGUGUCAUGAAAUCUUCAACCUACAAGCUUUUGCGGUUUGUAGGCUUGGACUUGGAGGCUUGUCGGCCCCCUGUCGGUCGGCUCCUCUUAAAUGCAUUAGCUUGAUUCCUUGCGGAUCGGCUCUCGGUGUGAUAAUGUCUACGCCGCGACCGUGAAGCGUUUGGCGAGCUUCUAACCGUCUUCGCUUGAAGACAGCUUUAUGACCUCUGACCUCAAAUCAGGUAGGACUACCCGCUGAACUUAAGCAUAUCAAUAAGCGGAGGA